rnacentral:rRNA from 1 species
UACAACGAAACUGCGAAUGGCUCGGUAAAACAGCAAUAAUUUAAUCGGGGAUAUACUACUCGGAUAACCGUAGUAAAGCUAGAGCUAAUACGUUCCAUUAAAGCGCGAGUAAUCACGCUCGUGGUGCUAAGUAUUAGGUACAACCCAGUUUUUUCUGGUGAUUCAUACUUAUCGUCUGAUCACACUCUUGUGUGUGUGACGCCCCGAUUAAAUUUCUGACCUAUCAACUAUGAUGGUAAGGUAGGGUCUUACCAUGGUUGUGACGGGUAACGGACCGUGGGUGCGGGAUUCCGGAGAGGGAGCCUGAGAAACGGCUACCACAUCCAAGGAAGGCAGCAGGCGCGCAACUUACCCAAUCCGAACUUCGGGAGGUAGUGACAAAAAAUAUCAAUAGGGGGACCAAUGGUCUUCCUAAUUGGAAUGAAAACAAUGUAAACACCUUAUUGAGGAACCAGCAGAGGGCAAGUCUGGUGCCAGCAGCCGCGGUAAUUCCAGCUCUGUAAGCGUAUACCAAAGUUGUUGCAGUUAAAACGCUCGUAGUCGAAUUUUGGCGUGUGUUUCUGAGACCCCUGUUGGGUGUCGAAGGUUUAGCCGCGCCUUUGUGGAGGUGGGUGUGGUGGUACUUUAUUGUAUUGCUGCAUUUGCGCCACUGUUUACUGUGAAAAAAUUAGAGUGUUCAAAGCGAGCGAUUUGCCAUGAAUACAUUAGCAUGGAAUAAUAGAAUAGGACCUGGUUCUGUUUUAUUGGUUUGUCGGUAUCGGGUAAUGAUUAAGAGGGACGGUCGGGGGCAUUUGUAUUCCAGGGUUAGAGGUGAAAUUCUUAGAUCCUUGGAAGACACACAGCUGCGAAAGCGUCUGCCAAGGACGUUUUCAUUGAUCAAGAACGAAAGUAGGGGGAUCGAAGACGAUCAGAUACCGUCGUAGUCUCUACUAUAAACUAUGAGGACUAGAAAUUGGACGUGGCCUUCAUUUUGGUACGUUCAGCGCCUUCCGGGAAACCAAAGUAUUUGCUUUCUGGGGGGAGUAUGGUCGCAAGUCUGAAACUUAAAGGAAUUGACGGAAGGGCAUCACCGGGUGUGGAGCCUGCGGCUUAAUUUGACUCAACACGGGAAAACUUACCAGGUCCGGACAUAAUAAGGAUUGACAGAUUGAGAGCUCUUUCUUGAUUCUAUGGUUGGUG